AGCAUGAUUUCUGAUUGAGGUAGCAUUCAAAAAAAUAUACUGUGUGUAUACAAAAUCCCCCACAAACAAUUCAAAAUCCAGUGCUUUGUGAAAUGCUGCUGCAAAUGAAAUGUCUGGAAUCUCGAUGUUUAUAAGAGACAGGCAAAUAACACACGUGUGCUGUUAAAAAAAAACAGCGAGCUUGAAGAACUGAGAAAAGUUGGGAUGAGUAGACAACUGGACCCCACAUGGAAAAAAAAAAGACACUGGAACCUCAACUUUGAGCUUUAGCAUCUGCCACUGUGUCAGCAGUGGCCUUUCACACAGGGAAUGAAAUGCCCCACUGGGAAGAAUGCUUGUGUAAAACAGAUGUAUUACUAAGCUGUAGGUCAAACACACCAAUGUAAUUUUAUAUUUAAAAUCUAUUUCUGCAUGCCGAGCAUGACUUUUUUUUCUUUAUUCAUAUCUUAUACACUCCAUCCUGGCUCCAGUUUCCCCUCCCUCCACUCGUCAUAGUCUUUCACCACACUUCCUGUCUCCCUCAGAUUCACUCCUCCUGUCUUCCCUUCAGAAAAGAGGAGGCUUCCAGUGAUGUCACCUGAACUCAGAAUAACAAGGUGCAAUAAGACUUGGCACAAACCCUCAUAUCAAGGGUCCCACAACCAGACAAAAGAGUCAGAGACAUCUCCACUCCCACUGUUAGGAGUCCCACAAAAAUCCCAAACCAAGAAAACAAAAUAUAUAUGCAGAGGACCGAGUGCAGCUCAAUGCAGACUCCAUGACUGCUAAUUCGGUCGCUGCGAGCCCCUCUGAGCCCUGCUUAGUUGAUUCUGUGAGCUGUGUUCUGCUCGUCAGAAGCUUCCUGACGGGAACAGAUCCCCAGCUGAAUAUGGAACAUGGCUUUUUAAAAAUGUCUGUUCUUUACCAUAGUGUUAACAUUUUAAGUCAAUAUUUAAGUCCUGAGUGACUUUGCUUUUAACGCCAUAUAUAUUUUUUAACUUUUCUUGGAAAACAAGUCAGAGAAUCUGGCAGUUCUAGGCCAGUUUCCAGGCAUGACAAGGACCUCCUUAUUUUGCUAUGCAUUCAUUCAGUAAGAAUUUUAAGUUACAUGUGCAGGUCUCUGGCUUUAAAUCAUUCCGGGGCAGUCCUGUCUCACAGACCUUUGCCAGCAUCAAGGACCAACAGCAUCAACUUGCUAGAAAUACUAAGUCGUCUCAGGUGAUACCCAGCCCUCCUGAAAUAGACCCACAUUUGGCCAUGAUUCCCCAGCACCUGUGCGCACGAUGAACGUUGAGAACGCUCACAGCAGACAGCCAGUGGCAGUAUCAUUGCAAAUAGGAAGCCUCUGGUUUAUCUUACUGAGUCAGAAACGUUUGUUGCUUUUCUGAGACAUGAUCUCAUGUAGCCCAGAUUAGCCACGAGUUUGCUCUCUAGUUUAAGGUGACCAUAAACUCUUAAUCCUCCCCCAGUGGCCUAAGAACACAAGUAUGAGCUGCCAUAUCUGGCUUCAUUCAUAAUCACUGAGGCUGGGUUCUUGUCAUCUCUAUUUUCAAUAUGCUUCCCAGUUUACAACCUGAGAGCAGACUCAUCAUUGACACCACCAGGAAGCUACGUACUUCCUCCAGCUCUCUAUUGAACCAUCAGGGACCCAGCUCUGGGCAGGAAAAUAAGGGCUAAAGCUGGCCUUUUGGUGCAUGCGUGUGUGUGUGUGUGUGUGUGUGUGUGUGUAGUAUUUUAUGUAGUGUCUCAUUCCAACAGCCCUUGGUAACUUGCAGACAUUGAAUUAAGUGUUAAAAUGAAGAAGUCAUAUACUUUUAGGAAACAGAGCCUUUGCUGAAAGGCCUUGAGAUGAUUACGCUAUAGCCCCAUGGACAUGUUGUAAGGCAGAGGUCACAAGCAUACAAACCUUGAGAGAAGUAUGGCGGCAGGGAGGCACUCUGCUGAAAGCCAAUGUUGCUGCAGAGAAAACAAGAAACAGAGAAGAACCAGCUUUACAUUGGGUUAGGGUGAUGGGACCCAAGGGUAGCUGGGUUACAGAAGCCAGGCUGUAGAUGCAUCUUGCUUUGUCAUUGCUGCCCUCCACGACCCACUGGCAUCAUGGAAGAGGAGCAAAGGAGGAAAUUAUUCAAGUCUUUCUCCCUCAAGCUGCCUGGUGUUUGCCGUAGCUAAGUUGCACUGGUUGGUUGUAACUGUUAGCUUGACACAACCUCGGGUCUCCUGGGAAGACAGUCUCAACUGAAGAAUUAUCUAGAUCACAUUAGCCUGUAGGUGGAUCUGUGGGAAUCUGUCUUGAUGCUUACUUGGGGUAGGAGGAUUCAGCUCACUGUAAGUACGCCAUGUCAUGGGUCAGGACCUGAACUGUUUAUGAAUAAACAAAGCCAGCCAGCAAAAGCAAAGGCAAGCAGGCAGUCUGAGUGCACUCAUUUCUCUGUCCUCUAAACUGUGAGUACACUGUGGCUAGCUACUUGAUUUCACGCCUCAGCUUUCCUGAUGUGUUGGACUAUAACACCAGUUCUCAACCUUCUUAAUGCUGUGACCCUUUAAUACAGUUCUUCAUGUUGUGAUGGCCUGCAGCCAUAAAAUUAUUUCAGUGCUAUUUCAAAAGUGUAAUUUCUCUACUGUAACAAAUGCAAAUAUCUGAUAUGUAGGAUAUCUGAUAUGUGAUCCCCAAAGGGGUUGAGACCCACAGGUUGGGAAGCACUGGACUAGAACCUUAAAUUAUAAAAGAAAACAAAGCCUUCCUCCCCUGCCUUUCUGUCCAUCGGGGUACUUGUCAUAGCAACAGACAUGAAGCUAGAACACAAGCCACCAGGCGCUAUGCUUAGCUAGAGCUGAGGGGCACAGCCACAGACCUUUCUGAGAAGGCUCCCGGCAUGUGGGCCAAUGGGAAUGUGUUCUUGGAGCUGGGCUGGACAGAUCUCGAAGGGAAUGUGUUGGAGCUCAUGGAAGGUAGUGACGGCUGUGGCAAAGGUCUCUGAUGCACUGUGGAGGAGAAGAAAAAGACGAGCAGUCGGACUUCAAAUCCAGGGACAUUGAGAGUACCUCCCCAACUUAAAUCAAACCCAGCUGACAUGAAGGGAGAGACAAAAUCCAAAAGAUCAGGCAUAAUUUUCAGAUCAGAAAAUGCUAGGGGGAAGAAAAUAUUUCAUGGUUUGUCUAGAUAAUUGGCCACCUUGGAGUCACUUGACAUCGCUAUUGUUCUGUACGUUGAGAAUUUAAUUUUAUUUUGAACUGCUUCUUUGGCAGAAAAUCAUUAAUGGGAAACCUUGUAUAUUUUAGAGAUUAUUUACAUUUUUUAUUUUUUUUAAUGCCCAAACUGAAUGCUAUGUUGUUCAUUUGCAGUUUCUGAUUCUGUAUCCACAAAUGUUAGAGGGUAUAAAUAUGAGAAAAUUUUCUAUCAAGACAUAUAUGCAAGUUUCUGUGAAGUUAGGUACUCUGGAUUAUCACACAUAAACUUAAGUUCUCCUUGGUAAACC
rnacentral:lncRNA from 1 species